GCGAUGCGCCACGCAUUAUGUAAUCAUGUUGGAAAGGUCAUGCGGUAGGCAGAAGUACUGUGGUAGGGCGAAAAUCUAAUUUUCUCCUCCAACUUCAAAAUCAUCCGACAUUGUUGUUUUACCUUUUUUUGUAAAGGGUGUUUGGCUUAGUCUUUACACAUUCGCUUUGUAGAUGCUGAAUCGGUACUUCCGCCUACGUCACGCAUCACCUUUCCAAUGUAUUUAUGUAAUGCGUGGCGCAUCACAGAGCAGUGCAAGAUGAGCAUUUGUGGUUAAAAAGUAUAUAGUAUGUAUUUCUUUGUUUUUUUUUUGUUUUUUUUAAAUGACCAAUCGUUUCGUUAGAGAAGACUCUUAUUCCUCGUCUGGGAUCGUGUAGAGCCCUUUGAAGCUGCACUGAAACUGCAAUUUGGACCUUCAACCCGCUGUACCCUAGUGAAGUCCACUAUAUGGAGAAAAAUCCUGGAAUGUUUUCCUCAAAAACCUUAAUUUCUUUUCGACUUAAGAAAGAAAGACAUAAACAUCUUGGAUGACAUGGGGGUGAGUAAAUGAUCAUGAAAUUUUAAUUCUGAAGUGAACUAAUCCUUUACAAAAUAUUCUUGAUUGUUUUUUCGCAAAAAAAAAACAAAAAACUUCAGGGUGCUAAUUUACUUCAACUGCCCUGGUUGCGUCAUCUUACCAAGACAUUGUACAGGAAAGUGAGUACAGUUGAAGUGAUGUCCAUCUGUAUCAUGUAUAUCUGUGCCAGGCGUUCUCACCACAUGGUCAGCAGGGUAAGAACAGGAAACUAGAUGAAGCUUCCUCAACGUUCAGGGUGGCACGUCUAUCAGUCCAUUCUGAGAAAAGCGAGAGUGCACUUCACACGUCUAUUAGCUGAGAGAGUCUGAGGUGUUAUCUCUCCAUCCCCUCUUGUGUUUCCGUUAGAGUAUCUCAGCCCGCCUUUGGUCACUCUGGUCUGUAGUGAAGUGAUUACUGCUGAUUAAGCCUUAACAGAGCAAUAUUCUGGACUGAGGAACAGACUGUCACAAGAGGGACUGGACCUGCUAUUCCUUUGACCUCGAAUCGAAAUUGUAGGCCGCUGUCUCCUUUGUACAGACACUGGAGUAUAGGAGCCAUGCCUGAAUUGGUAUUUCAGGUCCCCAGUGUCCUGCAAAUGAGUUGUGACAGGCAUAUGACACAACCGGGAGCUCAAGCAACCUCUUAAACAAACAGACCAGCAGCAACAGCAUACCAGUUCCCAUCACGGACCACACAACUCGACCGGACCCAGCUCACUGCACAUCGCCUUUUUCCACAAGUCCUCGAAAUGGCGCCUGUGAUAAAGAUCGAGCAGGACCACAUGAAGAGAAAAGCCAACAACUAAUUACACUAUUACUGCUGCAGGUUGUGAUAAAGUUCCCAAUCGCAAAUGUUCACAGCCACUGGCAAAAAUGUUUUCUUUUGUGCUUCCCCCCUAAAUGUGGCACAUGCUGGCAUCCUGCACGACGUAACAAACAUCCUGUCAGAACCAUGAUAGCUCUAAAUAAACACGACAUGUAAUGUAUGUGUAUACAUACUGUAAUUGUAACAUGACUGGAAAAUGUAAACAGAUUUUAAAUAUUUGGGAAUCUUGUUUUCACCCUUGGAAUGUGUGGAUAAGGAAGAGGAAAAAAAAAUAUUUAGGAAUACAAUAUGCAUCCUAAUGUGAAAUGAGCUUUUGUGGGGUGGUUUACUAUUAUAUGCAGUCCCUUGGUUUUAUCUGACAGCUGCAGAUUAAUAAAGGGCCAAAACAUUUAAAAAUAUUCCAACUGCAUUAAAGUUGUUUCUACUGAUUA